GACGAACGCUGGCGGCGUGCUUAACACAUGCAAGUCGAACGGAAAGGCCCUGCUUUUGUGGGGUGCUCGAGUGGCGAACGGGCGAGUAACACGUGAGUAACCUGCCCUUGACUUUGGGAUAACUUCAGGAAACUGGGGCUAAUACCGGAUAGGAGCUCCUGCUGCAUGGUGGGGGUUGGAAAGUUUCGGCGGUUGGGGAUGGACUCGCGGCUUAUCAGCUUGUUGGUGGGGUAGUGGCUUACCAAGGCUUUGACGGGUAGCCGGCCUGAGAGGGUGACCGGAAGGAGUGGGGAGGAUGUGAGGACGGGAGUACUACGGGGGGCGGAAGUGGGGGGGGGUGCGGGGGGGGCGGGGGUGUGGUGCAGCAACGGCGGGUGCGGGAGGGGGGGCGUCGGGGAGUAGGCAAGAGGCGCCGGUGACGAAGGGGGAAGGAAGGGAAUGAGUAAAGAAGAAAGGGAGAAGUAUGAA
rnacentral:rRNA from 1 species